GGAGGAGUACCCAAGUCCGGCUGAAGGGAUCGGUCUUGAAAACCGACAGGCGGGUUAAACCGCGCGGGGGUUCGAAUCCCUCCUCCUCCG
rnacentral:tRNA from 1 species